GGACUACUGGGGUAUCUAAUCCUGUUCGCUCCCCACGCUUUCGUACCUCAGUGUCAGGAGUAGCCCAGCAAGCUGCCUUCGCCAUUGGUGUUCUUCGUAAUAUCUACGCAUUUCACUGCUACACUACGAGUUCCACUUGCCUCUGCUGUCCUCUAGUCUGCCAGUAUGUGAUGCAUCGACAGGGUUGAGCCCCACGAUUUAACAUCACACUUAACAAACCACCUACGCACGCUUUACGCCCAGUGAUUCCGGAUAACGCUUGGACCCUACGUAUUACCGCGGCUGCUGGCAC
rnacentral:rRNA from 1 species